AAGCCCUUCGGGGUGAGUAAGCGGCGAACGGGUGAGUAAUACACAAGUAUCUGCCCCUCAGUGAGGAAUACCUUCGAGAAAUCGAAGUUAAUACUGCAUACGUCCCUACGGGGAGAAAGGCGGCUUUUAUGCUGUCGCUGAAGGAUGAGCUUGUGGGCUAUCAGCUAGUUGGUGAGGUAAAGGCUCACCAAGGCUAUGACGGCUAGCCGGCCUGAGAGGGUGUACGGCCACACUGGAACUGAGACACGGUCCAGACUCCUACGGGAGGCAGCAGUGGGGAAUAUUGCGCAAUGGGCGAAAGCCUGACGCAGCGACGCCGCGUGGAGGAUGACGGUUUUCGGA
rnacentral:rRNA from 1 species